rnacentral:tRNA from 1 species
GUCUUCGUGGUGUAACGGUAGCACAAUCGGCUUGCAUUCGAGAGGUCCAGGUUCAAGUCUCGGCGAGGACA